AAUGACUCCGGGGAGCGAAGGCGCUGGGGUUGGGGGGGGGGGGUGCAGGAAGCCUCUCGCAGCUGCUGCCCUGCGUCCGCCCUUCCCUUGCUCCUUAUCCUCCGCGUCCACCCGCUUGAGGUCUGGAUGUCUGCUGAUUCCUUUGCUGAGCGCACGACUCCCCACGAGGGCUGCAUCCCGUCCCUGGCCGGAACCCAGACGGCUUCCUGAUUUCCUUCCUGCGUCUCCGGUUAUCACGACAAAGGCAUGGAGUGGGGCUGGCCCGAACCGCUAGAAGCCCUGCCCGGUGCACGGUCAGGGAUCGGUUUAUGGCUUUGACAUGGCCCACCGACCAUCCACGUGAUUCCAAGCUGCGUAGUGUUAAUUCUUAGAGCUAAAGCCAGGUUUUUGCAAAGUUGUUUUUUAUUUGGGGCGGGGGAGGGAGGAAUCUUUAUUAUGCUGUUAUCUAUCCAGCAAUCUGGACCAGUUUAACCAUUUCUAGAUGAACAGUUUCAGUUUCAUUUGCGAUGCUGCGCGAACCUCAAUACGAUGUUUCCAAAACGUCUGCCACAGAAACUGUGUCUCCCCCCUGAGCAGGAGCCCUGUCACUGUGCCUCGCAGCCCUGGUUACCUCUCAUCUGCUUUCUGCCCAGGAACUUGGCUAUUCCAGUGGUGUAAAACCUAGGCAACCACUGCGACUCUCACCUUCAGCACAGUGCACAGCACGUCAUAUGAGAUUUUCAACAUCCUAUUAUAACCGUCUUUGCUGUGUGGCUUUGCCCACCUGUAGGCUCAGCUUCCCUAGAAAGCAGUACCACAUGGAAUGGUGAGUGAGCCAUCGCAGACAGGUGCAAACGCUGGUUCUGAGUGAGGUGGCUGAGUGGCACCCGAGUAGCUGUCGUGGACACCAGAUGAAAAGCUACCUUGGGACCAGCAGAAGUCACUCACAAGCAUGUCUAACUCAGAGCAGGUGGGAAGAUGAAUGGGGGAGACCUCAGUUCUGCUGGUGCUUCUGAUCAUGCAUUCGGUGCAGCAGGGAGGAAAAGGCUACUCAGGAGGAAGAGGCUGCUGCAGUGCUUUUACCAAAGAGGCCCUUCAGACACCUGAGAGAUGCGUCUGUGUGAGGAACGGAAGACUGCUCAUCCUGAAGGAAACAAUUAUACAGAGUAUCAGAGUUUAAUUUCACACUUGCCACACAGAAAGAAGGGCAUGAGUUAGCCUUUGCAAAGACCUUUCUCCCAGAAGUUUGCACGGGGAAACACAAUGAGGGGUGUGUUUAGCGCCAGUAGGUUCCUCUCCAGAGAACACUUUCUGAGUAAAACCUCCUAAUCUCAGUGGAGUCUUAUCUAAAAAUUGAGAAUGCUGUUUCCCAGGAGAACUGCCAAUUAUGUUACACAAACUUCUGUCUCAAACCAUAUUCAGGACCAUUGUCUUUCUUACCAGGUUACAAAACACCUAUCAGGCUGAUGGUCCAAUCAUCUCACUUCAAGGAAAAAAAAAAAAAAAAAAAAACCAAUAUCUAAUCUACUGUUUUAGACCACAUCCUAAGCCAACCUCAUGUGCAUAAGAUGGACCAUGUUAAUACGAAAGAGAAAACUAUAAUAAAAGUGGAGGGGAAAUUUCUUUGCA